rnacentral:rRNA from 1 species
CAGUCGCCACGGGAAUACGAAGGGUGCAAGCGUUAAUCGGAAUUACUGGGCGUAAAGCGUGCGUAGGCGGUUUGUUAAGUCUGUUGUGAAAUCCCCGGGCUCAACCUGGGAAUGGCAAUGGAUACUGGCAAGCUAGAGUGUGUCAGAGGAUGGUGGAAUUCCCGGUGUAGCGGUGAAAUGCGUAGAGAUCGGGAGGAACAUCAGUGGCGAAGGCGGCCAUCUGGGACAACACUGACGCUGAGGCACGAAAGCGUGGGGAGCAAACAGGAUUAGAUACCCCCGUAGUCCCUGUCUCUUAUAC